ACAAGGAAAGCGAUUGCAGUAACGACAUGUUAUUAAUUUCUAAACUUUGAGAACCAAUAAUUUAUUUUUGAGUUUGCUUGGGUACAAGAAUGCAUCUACACUUUAAAUAAUACCCAUUUAUGAUGGUUUUUACUAUUGAAGAUUAUAAUUAUUAACUGUAACUUUUAACAUAUUGAGAAAUUUUGGCUAAGGUAGUUUAAUUUAUUUUUUUUUUGAUAAUUUUCAUACAAGAACUUUGACAUUGCUGGUGU